rnacentral:rRNA from 1 species
GCGUUAUCCGGAUUUAUUGGGUUUAAAGGGUGCGCAGGCGGGAUUUUAAGUCAGCGGUGAAAUUUUCAGGCUCAACCUGAACACUGCCGUUGAAACUGGGAUUCUUGAGUAUGGAUGAAGUAGGCGGAAUUCGUUGUGUAGCGGUGACAUGCUUAGAUAUAACGAGGAACUCCGAUUGCGUAGGCAGCUUACUAAGCCAUAACUGACGCUCAAGCACGAAAGCGUGGGGAUCAAACAGGAUUAGAUACCCUGGUAGUCCACGCCGUAAACGAUGAUUACUAGUUGUUUGCGAUAUACCGUAAGUGACUAAGCGAAAGCGAUAAGUAAUCCACCUGGGGAGUACGCCGGCAACGGUGAAACUCAAAGG